AUGGAAUUGAACGGCAAGGAGCUCAUUUCCCGGUUCAAGAAGUCGAAUCGCUUGGACCGUAAAGACAAGAUUAUGUUCCCAGUUUUAGAGAACAUUGACAAGACAAAGCCUAAAAAAGGCAAUCAUUACUGGAUUUGUAACGUGAACAUAAGGGAUCGACGUUUUGAAGCUCUUGAUUCUUGGAGGAUGCUAAAAAACAAGGCUUUAGAUGUUUGUGCAAGGAAAAUGGUUGCAAGUUUUCGGUCUCUAUGGGAAGAGCAUUACGCCAGUUCCCGUGUCUCACUAGAUGACUUUGGGCUUACCAACAUCAACGUUCCAAAACAAAACAAUGAGUUCGACUGUGGUGUUUUUGCUCUGACACUAGCAAACAGUUGGGAGGCAAGGGUUGUUCCAAAUUUCAGAGCAGAGGAUAUUCCAAGCAUAAGGAAACAAUUGACUAACGCGUGGGUUGACAACGCCAACAACAAGGCUCCAUGGAAAACCAUACUCAAGUUAGCAUAG
rnacentral:rRNA from 1 species